rnacentral:rRNA from 1 species
CCGCCCGUCACACCAUGAGAGUUGGUUAUACCAGAAGUCGCUGCGCUAACUUCGGAAGCAGGCGCCCAAGGUAUGAUCGAUGAUUGGGGUG